GCGAAUACGGAGAGCAGAUGAAUAAAUUAUAGUUUUGUGAAAUAUAAUAAGUUGUGAGAGAGAUAACUAAUGUAAAAACGACAAAAAUUAAUAUAUCACUUGCUAACUACCCGCCCUGAUCAAUCCAUAUUUUACCUAAUAUUUUAGUCGCAUUAAUAGUCACGUAUAUGAUUUGUUGCAAGAAAAAUAGAACUGACAAGAUCUUUGGCUACUGUAUUUUUGGCUUGGCAUUUGGGGGGAGGGGAAGCGAAUAUGGAGAGCAGAUGAAUAAAUUCUGAAUAUAAUAAGCUGUGAGAGAGAUAACUAAUGUAAAAAUGACAAAAUUUAAAAUUAAUACUUAUAUCACUUGCUAACUACCCGCCCUGAUCAAUCCAUAUUUUACCUAAUAUUUUAGUCGCAUUAAUAGUCACGUAUAUAAUUAGUUGCAAGAAAAAUAGAACUAAGACAAGAUCUUUGGCAACUGUAUUUUUGGGUUGGUAUACGAAAUAUAUAUCUGUGAAACUCAAUCAAUACCAUGAUGCAGAAACAUACAUGCAUGGGGUUUUAAAAAUGCCAAAUAAUCUAGUGGCCUUCAAAAAUGGAUCACACAGAUAUCAAAUAUUUGAAAAGUCAACAUUAACAUUUUUAGUUAGAGAAUGUAAUACUAGUAUUUUAUUUUGUUUCCAGAGAAAAUCAUCAUUUUUCCUUCAAAGUAAAUUUCAGCCGUAAAUAUACCAUAUAUACAAUUUUUAAUUUAAAGCGUUGACCGAUUGAUAACAAAAAUUUACAUUUAUAAUAGGGCAGUUGCAUCACUUCUGAUGCGACACGUCAGCAAUAUGUGGGUUCCACUUUUAAAAAGUGUGAAAAAAGUGUCAAGUCUGUGACUCGAACCCGGAUUAUUGAGAUCUAAACAACAUCAUUUAUACCACUGAGCUAAAGGAUUUUUUGUACAUUGAUAGCUGAAACAAAUAUAUAUUUAUGAAGGUCGGAAACCUUUGCUUCUUCGGUUUUCUCUGUGAGAUCCACACUUAUUUAUUUUAUCUAAUGAUUUAAUAAAUAUUUUAUAACUCACGUUUUGAAAUGAGAUUCGUUAAAAAAAAAAGCCCAAUAAACCUCUUUGGUCUGUAAGCGUUCUCUUCAAUGGAAGUUUAGGGCUUUCAAUUUUUAAUCAUCGGUUCAUGACUCAUCUAAGAAACACAGAUUGACUCUUUGAGUUUCAUGAAUCAGUUUUUCUUCUUUAGUCUCUACAUCUCCCCAUCUUUAAUAAAUUCAUCAGUUCUUUUAUUUUGCCUGAUAAAUCAUGAUUGUAUGGUUUUAAUUUUCUUUGGUCAUCCUUAGCUUGCACCCUUUGAUCUAACCAAGAAGAAGAAGAAGACAUUUGUCGUUCAGGAUGCCAUCGAGGACUCAACUGAGUCACACGGAAGAUAUACUAUCUGUUGUCUGAUUGUUCAAGAAGAGUUUAUGUGAUGUGAAACAUAUUUGUUUCUUUUCAUCAGUUGCUUUGUUUGAUCUUUUUUCCUGCAAAUAAUGAUGACUUUGACAGUUCAUUCACGGGAGCCAAGAAGUAAAAGAAGAAGAAGCCAGUGAGUGUUUGACAUUUUCUGUCGUCCAGAGUUUUUUUUUUUCCAUUCAUUAAACUUGGAUUUUGAAGAUUAUGUGCCUCACAUUCUUUUUAUUUUGAUGGUUGUUAGGUUGAAUGAAGAUCAUUGAAUAAAUAAAAUGUCGAUGCUCCUGAAGAUUUGGAGGAGCAUCCUAAUGAUGAGGAAGAGGUGGAGGGAAUUGAUCUGCACCAGCAACGUUACCCGUGGGAGGGAAGUGACAUGGAUUACUUAUACGACGAGCUUUAACAUGCCAAAAUCACAAUGCAGUGGGUGUUGUAAGUGAAAUCACUAAGCUUGCAAUGUGUCAGGACAACAAAAGCAUCUCAGCUGAUGAUUGUGAAUGAAAGGCACAAGCAGGGAACAUAUGUGUAGCUGCGUUCGACUCGACAUGUAGCGGUAUCUGCAGAUCCGCUGAUCCCAUUGUGGAGGUUAACAUGCAAUGUGUUGACCUGGAAAUCAUUAUUUGGAAGCUACAUUUCGAGGCAUUUCCUCAACAUAUAAAUAUACCAUAGACUGAGUUUGAUAUUUAUAAUACUCAGUGAUCAUGGAGUCUGCAGAAAAUAGUCUUUUUGCAUAUUCUAUAUGGAACCAAGAGAUAUGUCAUUUGUUUGAUGAUUGUAUUAUGAUAUCUACUAACAUAGGAGAUGACUAGAGAAAGAGAAAUGAGUAUGAAACUCUUAUAUGGGUAGCUUUUGUAAACACAUUUGGAUUUAUUAACAGUUGUGACAAACAAUUAUGUUUAUAGUAAAAGGAAACCCGCCGCAUCGUCAAUAACAAAUGCCCCUGUUUUUUUGUUGUUUGGGAUUGAAAUAGUUUAUGGGUUUUCUAAAUCAAUAUAAUUGAUUUGACUAAAGCUAUCUUGGAUGAAAAAAAGAAGGAUUGCAAGUUUAAUAACUUCUACUUUAGACUUUAAUUUCAACUAAAUUAUAAUCAGUCUUUUAUCCAUAUCAUCUUAGUUAUAAUCGUAAGAAUUUAUUAGAAUAAAUAAACAGUUUCAACAAUAUUUAAUAUGUGAUUUAAUAAAUAAAAGAACAUGUAGGAUUUUAGGAUUUAAAGAGAUUGAAGACAAUAAUUAAUGAAUAUGAAAAGAAUACGAAGCAGAUGAUGAAAAAUGAUUCGAGCAAAUUGGUGGCAACACAGAGCUAAGCGAAAUAAAAAUAUCAAUCAAUAAAGAAUGAAACAAGAAUGAGCAUGAUUAAGUUAUUACAAAAGCCAAAACUAAGACAAAUCAAACGACAGAACGUGAAAACAAAUGUAAACAAGACAAGAGGAGAUGGUGAAGAUAAAAUGCAUAAAAAAACUGAAUGCUAGAUUAGUAAGCAAGAGACAAAAAUAGAUUAAAAUGCAAAAACUCUGCGCCUUGGCGCGGGUAACGAUCCCUUGUAUACAUUAAUUUGACAGAUACUGAAUGUUGGCAUGGCAGACACAAACUUGCAAAAAAAAAUGGUUGGUUGGUUCCAUUUAGUAUAUACGGUGAUAUGCAGUCAAACGAUUUAAAUGGUAGAUGAACUUAGCAAAUUGAUUUAUAUAACUUUCUUCGACACUAAUAGUGAUAAAAUUAAUCAACAAUGUUUGUAUCGCAAAUGCACCUGUGCCGCGUCACUUUAUACGACACGUCUAUGAAGCUUGAUUUAAAAAAUGCAUUUACCAUAUUUAUCGCAGAGAAAAAACAGACCAACCACGAUCAUUAUUGGAAGCCAUCUGCAUGCGUGUUAAUAUGGAACUGGUAAAUUGGCAAGGACGGUGAUGGAUAAGAACAUUGGCCUAAUUCGUUAAGGCAGAGACCACCAAAAGUCUCAAACUGUUCUCAGUUAAAAUGUGAUUUGAUGGUUUGGCGUUUGACCGCUGGUCCAUUUUUGACUAUCUCUCUUCCAUUGUUUCCCAUUUUUUACCCCACAUUUUUAAAACAAAAUCUCUUAUCUUUCCACAUGAUCCAUAAUACAUUAGGAUGGAGAAACACCAAUUGAUGAUGUUCUAUUCCGGAAGUACUUAGAAUUUUAAAUGAUUAAUUAUAAAAAAGAAAUAAAAAAUUAAUGUCCGAUGAUGAUAAACUAUUGUGGAAGUUUGUUAUUUGAUUAAAGAUUCACUAAUGUUUUUAAGAUAUCUGGUUUGAGUCAUAGAAAAACAAUUUAUUAAGAAUUAUUCCCCCGGUGUCAUUGUAGCUGGUGUUUAAAGUUUUUGCAUAACGAUUAAGAAAACACAAAUUUUUAUACAAUUUAUUUUGGUUACAUAAAAAUAAUAUUAAAUAAAAUAAUUCAACUAAUAAAAAUGCAGUAUUUUGUAAUUGGUCAAAAAUUUCAAAUCACAUUAAAUUUUAUCUAAAAUAGUGAGAACUUCACUUAUUAUGAAAUAAAACAAAAAUAGUAUUAGUAACAAACGAUUUAGAUGGGUUUUCAUAAAACAAAUUAUAAUGGUGUAAGUAAAAUCUUCAUAUGUAAAUUCUUUUAAGACAUAUAAAACUAAAUGGUUGUACAAUCGUCUAGUAAUAAUUUUUCAUAAUUUGUAGCAAAAUAAUAAAUCAGUAGUAACAAGAUAGAGUGAUUAUGUCAACAAAAAUUACUCUAAAAUAUUAUUACUGAAGUUUCUUAAAACAUAACAAUUUCAUACUAUUAUAUGUUUCACAUUGAUUUCCUAAAUCUACAAUAUUAAUGGCAUAUACUAAAAACGAUUACUAUGUAGAUUUUAAGUUCAAUUAAAAUUUUAGCCGAUUAUUUGCCACUUUGCUAUUCUUUUUUCGUCUAUGAAUUUCAUUGAUGAAACACAGAGACAAUAAGGAGGUGUUAUUGGUUUAUAUUUUGAUUGAUUUAGAAAUUCAUAUAGUAUUUAUAAAUCC